UACGUAGGCAGCAAGCGUUGUUCGGAAUUACUGGGCGUAAAGAGUGUGUAGGCGGUGCUCUAAGUCUGUUGUGAAAUCUCCCGGCUUAACUGGGAGGGUGCGGCGGAGACUGGAGUGCUAGAGUGUGGGAGAGGUAAGCGGAAUUCCUGGUGUAGCGGUGAAAUGCGUAGAUAUCAGGAGGAACACCUGUGGUGUAGACAGCUUACUGGACCACGACUGACGCUGAUACACGAAAGCGUGGGUAGCAAACAGG
rnacentral:rRNA from 1 species